rnacentral:rRNA from 1 species
UACGAAGGGGGCGAGCGUUGUUCGGAAUUACUGGGCGUAAAGGGCGCGUAGGCGGCGACCCAAGUCAGAUGUGAAAGUCCUGGGCUUAACCUGGGGACUGCAUUUGAUACUGGGUUGCUUGAAUUCGGGAGAGGAUAGCGGAAUUCCCAGUGUAGAGGUGAAAUUCGUAGAUAUUGGGAGGAACACCAGUGGCGAAGGCGGCUACCUGGACCGGUUCUGACGCUGAGGCGCGAAAGCGUGGGUAGCAAACAGG